rnacentral:rRNA from 1 species
UACAGGGGGUGCAAACGUUGCUCGGAAUCAUUGGGCGUAAAGCGCACGUAGGCGGUCUGUUAUGUCGGAUGUGAAAGCCCCUUGGCUCAACUGAGGAAGUGCAUCCGAAACUGGCAGGCUAGAGUACUAAAGAGGAUCGCGGAAUUCCCGGUGUAGAGGUGAAAUUCGUAGAUAUCGGGAGGAACACCGGUGGCGAAGGCGGCGAUCUGGGUAGAUACUGACGCUGAGGUGCGAAAAGCGUGGGGGAGCAAACAGG